GGAAUGCAUUCUGGGAGAUUGAGUCGUUGUUUUUUCUCUCCUCGGCCUGUUCUCCUUUUUGAAGUUGUUGCUACGACGAAAAAAAGAGUCAGCUCUGAGCACUUUGUUUCAGAAAGUUGAAGAUGGCGGUGGAGCUACCAUGUAAAGGGGUGACCAAACCAUCAGAAGCAAUUAGGUUUCAGCGUCUUGCUCAAUGGCAGUAGGAACUGGAGAUCGAACCGCCACCCCUGCCGUUAUUGGACAGCCUGCUCUACCUGCUGAGCCACAGGAGCUGGAGAAGAAAAUGUCACCAGAUCAAAUUAGUGGGAGCCUCCAACUCUGCCUGUCUGCCUCUGUCUGUCUAUUCCACCGAGUGGUAGCGUCACUCAUGGAAGUUUCCAGAAGUUUAUUUGUGUCCAAACUUCCCCAGGUCUGAUUUCCAUGUACAAGGUCAGUAUCAGCUGUCUACAGGGAACAUCACUCCCUCAUAACCAGAGCACGACAAAAGGACAAACGCAGACACACUAAGGACAAAAGCUUUUUCCCCGGCUUUAUUGCUGAAGCACGUUACCUAUGACAGUAAUACAGCAUUGUUGUCAUCAGAAAAGGAUUUGGAUUAAAGAGCAGCAGACCUUGAGCCAGAUCAACCGGACCAGGCAGGCACCAGGGCGGCUGCUGUGAUCUCCCAGGAGGAGAGGAAAGACAGCCAUGAGAGAAGCCAUGCUGGCCCAGCUUGGACUUAAGGCUGCUCCUGGCUAAUGUCUGGUCUGGACGAAAUGGGACUCUGUUGUGCCCACAUUUUUACAGAGACCUGCUCCAUCAACAUCCCGGAUCAAGCACUCGACGGACGGACUGUGUUCCGAGCUGACAGAUCGCAAGACUUCGGCGAGAGGAAAGGAGGAGGACUCUGUGUUUACAUCGAUGAUGAUGAUUGGUGCUCAAACGCUCAAACGCUCAAAAGUGGAUGGACACUGUCUCACAAAUGUUGAAAUUUUUAUGUGGAGAUGGAAACCAUAUUAUCAUCACUAUCUCUAUCUGCUGUUUACAUUCCACCAGACACAAAUUCAAAAAAUGCACUGCAGAAUUAUUUCCUGGGUGUAUAUGUGUAGGCUAUGUAUAUAUAUAAAUAACUGUAUAUAUUGUUUUAUUUUAUAUAUUAGCCUAUUUUAAUUAUCUUACCUAUUUAAUUGAAUGAAUGAAUUUAAUUAUCUGUUAUGUUUAAUGUGUGUAGCAUGAAGGGACUACGAACUUUCAUUUCGUUAUACAACCUUAUGUUGUAAAAUGAUGAAUAAAUUACCUUGUACCUUGUGUCAUUUGUGGCUAAAUGAUAUCAAACGAACCAACAAUGACAGACAAGCUAUCACCCAUGAUGACACCCCACAACCAUGUUAUUGUCUGUGAGUAACUCUUAUCAGUUAUUUGUGUCAGUGCAAAGUUCAUUUGUCACGCCCAUAUGUGACCCAUUAACAUAACUAUCAGAAACAGUCGUGGUGGGAGACUUCACAGCACACUCACUGAUGCCUUCGAGCUCCUCUCUGUCCGUACACACCAAGCUGCAGAUGUCAACGUCAUGACCGUGUGUGUGCAUGACGGAGUGGGGAAUGAUAAUCAAAUGUGAUUUGACAGAUGAUAGGGUGCUACUUGUGUUGUAUGUGCAAGUGUGUAUAUAUAUGUGUACUCUAUUUGCUCUACUGUUGUAAUGGGCAGCUGCCAUUAUUAAUAACCAUUAAUCUUAACAGUU